UACGAAGGGUGCAAACGUUGCUCGGAAUUAUUGGGCGUAAAGCGCACGUAGGCGGGUUCGAAAGUCGGAUGUGAAAUCCCUCGGCUCAACCAAGGAAGUGCAUCCGAAACUGUGAAUCUUGAGUACCAAAGAGGAUCGCGGAAUUCCCGGUGGUAGAGGUGAAAUUCGUAGAUAUCGGGAGGAACACCAGUGGCGAAGGCGGCGAUCUGGGUGGAUACGUGACGCUGAGGUGCGAAA
rnacentral:rRNA from 1 species